CCACGCUCUGGGCUCAGUGCACCCACAGCUUUUCGGAAGAUCCUCACUUCCCCAAGCAUGCGUCUGCUCCUUCUCCUGGCUCCAAAGCAGGGGAUUGUCCUGACCCUGCCACAGCCGGCCGCUAGGAACACUUGGGGGUUAGGAGCUUCCUUUGUUCCUACGCAGGAGACAGAGCCUGUUGACUAGCCCUGAACCAGCCCCCGAGGCCCGAGGAACGUCUGGAGCUGGUCAUCUGAGGCCAUCCCUUGUGUGAUCACUCGCUACAGCAAGGGCAGUCGGGUUACCCUGCUUGGUUGAGACAUGAAAGCAAUCAGGGCCCACCCCUGGAGCCGGAGGUGCACGGAGCCCCUCCAGCCAACCUAGCUGCCACUUCAGGUGGAAAGGAAGAAUGUGGAUGGAGGGGAACCAAACGCACGUCUGUCUCGUUACAACGUGUUGGUCUUUGGUGAGUUUGCCCUCGGAGGAUUGCUUCCCGCUUGGCCUGCUCUGCUCUGUAUUGUCAGCGUGUGCGUGUGCGCAUGCGCGCGCAUGCCCGCAGUGGAGAGGGGCUGGUCCCCGGAGGAUGUGUUUCCCCGUCUCCCAGGGCCGCUGACUUCUCCUGGCCUCAGCCAAUGGGAAGCGUUAUUGAAGAAGCGGAGAGAAGAGGGCAGGGAGAAGCCAGAGUAUUUCUCCCCAUCUCUGUCGGCCUCGGGCAGCUUCUCUGGAAACAGCCGCCUCGCCUGCCAGGCUCCAGCUCCCCCAGACGGGCCCUUCGUCAUCUCAGCUUCCACCUGGUGGCCCCAUCCCUGGGCCCCGAAACCACCACCUUGUGUCCCUCCAGCCUACGGGUGGGGGCUUCCUGCCGUUCCCAGGUUCCAGGGCGCACGCGUCACCACCCUGUUGGGUCUCAGCAGCUCCACCCCUGUGUAAACCACUUCCCUCUGGCAGCAGCUCUACUUACAAAACAGAUGAGGUUCUAAAAGAAUCUUCCCAACUGUCUUUGUUUCCUACUCUGAAACCACACACAAGUGACGGCUCCCGACAUCUGAGGGGUCCGGCUGGAACAGCUUGUGGUGGUACGCGGUGAUUUCUUCUAUGGCAAUAGCCUCAGGUUGAACAGUCCUGGGUUGACGAUAUUCUGUGCUUGGAUUUGCUCAGAGGCAAUUACUGUUCCUUUGAAAACACAAAUCUGGCAUCAUUUCCAUGAAAACAGUGGUCCUGGAGCCCCAUGCUGCUUCUCCUCCCCCCUGGUCCCCUCUGCCACGUCACACUGAAUCAAUCAGGAAGGAAGACAAAAGUGCUGGCCCUCCUGCCUGACUCAGGGGCCCCUGAGCGAUGCCACUGGCCUGCCCCAGCCUGUCCCUGAGGCCUGCUGGUGCCCACCCACUGCUCUGACAUCCUGACAGACUUCUCACUCCCCAGGACUCAGCCAGCCUCACCUCACCCCUUGCCCUCCCAGCACUGCCAGGCUCUUUCGGAGCCACAUGUCACAGAAGUUGGCAGGAAGUCUCAGGGUAGUGACUAAAGAUCGAUCAGGUUGUCAUUUAUAGUGUAGUAAUUAACACUGAGCUCCCUAAAAAGUCCCCAAAUGCCAGCCCUUUCCAAUCCAGGUACCCGGUGAGGCUCGUGACUGUCUCCCGGCCCUGAAUGGCCAAUCAGAGAAAUUAGGGUCUCAAGGUCCACGUCUUCUGGUCCAUGGGACAGAAAUAGACCCCAGCCUCCAUCUCACUCUACCCCAUAGAGAGAUUGGUCCUCACUCUUGCCAUUUCAGGGUGAGCUGGGCACAGCUGUGAUGGCUUAAGACAGUGGUUCUCAACCCUAUCCACGCAGAGCUUGUUAGAAAUGCAGAAUCUUGGGCCCCACUAAUGAAUCAGCUAAUAAGUCAGUUAAUGAAUCAGAACCUGCAUUUUAACGAGAUCCCCAAGUGAUUCCGACGGAUGGUAAAUUUGAGGAGCAUCGCUCUAGGUCAGUGGUUCUCAAACUUGAGCGAGCAUCAAAAUCACCUAGAGUGCUUGUUAAAACACAGGUUGCUUGUUAUUCAGCCACAAAAAGGAAUGAACUUCUGAUAUAUGCUACAAUACAACACGGAUGGACCUUGAGAAUAUCAUGCUUGGGAAUAAGCCAGAUGCAGAAAGACAAUAUUACAUGCUUCCAUUUAUAUGAGGGACCCAGAAUAGGCAAAUUUGUAGAGACAAGAAGUAGAGCAGAGGCUGCCAGGGGCUGGGGGCAGACAGCAAGAAAGAAGGGGGCAUUAUUGUUUAAUGGGUACAGAGUUUUUGUUGGGGAUGAUGAAAGAUUUUGGGUAUAGAUAAAGGUGAUGGCUGUAUGGCAUUUUGAAUGUAUUUAAUGCCACUGAACUGUAUGCUUAGGAAUGGUUAAAAUGAUAAAUAUUAUGUAUAUUUCACCACAAUAAAAAUAUAUUUCACCGCAUGUCUCUGGGCCCCACCCCCAGAGUUUCUGAUUUGUGAUUCAGCAGGUCUAGACUGAAGUCCGAGAAUUUGCAUUUCUAACAAGUACCCAAGUGAGGCUGAUGCUGCUGGUCCGAGGACCAUGUUUUGAGUGGCAAGAACCUGAGCACUGUUCCUAAGUAAAAUUAAAGGAAGACUGAUGUCCAGCCCAGCCCAGAGAUUCUGAUUGGACAGGUCUGGACUGGGGCCUGGGCUUGGGGCUCUUUCAGCCUCGUUGAGGUUGCCCUACUGUGCAGUCAAGGCGGAGAAGCACAGCUGGGUGGGGCCUUCUGGGAACCUCUUCCCCUGCUUCUGCUUCCUAUCGGUGAGGAGUUCCCGGUGUUUCGCUGCAGAAGCUUUAAAAAGUACUGAGGAAGCCGGCUUCUGGUGGUGGAGGGGUUUUUUUAUGCUGGGAAAAAUCGCCCCACCCUUUGUUCUCCCAGAAAGUGCUUUUAAACCAUGGGACAGACCCUCAAGAGAGAGGGGACAUUCACUCAGUGACUGAAUGACCAGGGUUGAUAGACAGAUUUCAGCUUUGUUAUGUUCCCCAUUUUAGUGAGUGUGAAGUUAUUAAUUCCUUCAACAGAGCUUCUCUGUUUUAACAAAAUUUAGGGCGCCCUGACUCGCACUUCAUUUCCUAAGGGCUGGCAAGUCUGUCACAGGUGAAUCCACUAGAAGAAAACAGGCAAGACAGCGUGAAGGCCAAGAGUGCUUUUCAGAUCUUUCCUCAACCCAAAGCAAUCCCAUGAAUAGCUAGUUUGGUGAUUUUCCACCAAUUCUAAAGAGUUCCGUCAGAUCGUAGAACUAACCGUGGAUGCCUACACAGAUGCUCCUUACCCACUGGUCUGGCAUCUUGGUGGACACCCUGACUGUCCAGGGUGGCUGGAACCUCUUACCUGCUGCUUCUCUCCCUCCACCCUGCACCCACCUACCCCUCUCCCUGCCUGAGAGUCAGCUCACUCCCUUCCACCACCACCCCACCACCCCCGCAGCCCCUGCCACCACCAGAAGGAGCGGAUGGGAGGGGCAGCCUCAAGACCACAGGCGCUACCCAACUCAACUAUGGGGAACUUAUGAUACGUUAAAAACAACAGAUUUAAGAGGAGCUCGAGCAAAGAAGACAGACAUUCAAUGUUAGCUAAGGCCUCAAAAUAAAAUAUUGACUUCAAGACAGACUUUUUGAAAGACUCUGGCAGAAGCCAAUAAAAAGAAUUCAUUUUCACUUAAAUCUUCUGAAACCCACCCUCCUUGCAUCUUUUUCUCCAUACUGUAAAUUAUCUUUACUCACCGACACCCAAUUAUACCUCUCCUGCUCCUUCUUCUCCUUCCCCUGACCUGCUAGGUCAACUACCUGUUCCCAGCAUUUUUCUCAGGAAAGGGUCACAUUUCACAGUAUGCCCUCAAAAUUGCUCGGCUAAAAGGCUGAUCUGGAAGUCAAAUUUAAGUUAAGGGCUAUAAUUAAGGAUUCCAAAACCUCAGGAAGACAGACAAAAGAAGUCUGCAGAAUUAUGGAUUUUGUUAGUUAGUUACUAUCCUGGAUGACCAGAUCCAUACCAAUGAGUUCACUCAACUUUAAGCCCCUCACGUGGGGGAAUGUUUAAGAGAAUGGGAAAAGCCAAGGAAGGAUUUAAAUAACCCAGCUGCACAUGAUUCAGAUAUUGGCCUUGAGAGGACAAGCAAACUAGAAAAUGAAAUACAUAUGGCCAUUACCGAAGUCUUCCCCUUAAAGGGAGAUUGGACAAAAAGUCAAAGUUGUGAAUAAAAUGAAGAUGACUCAGUAGGACACUAGACUUCAGGAAACCUUUCAACAAUAUUCUAAGAUCCAUCUAGCAGCUGAAGUAAAAGGAGCCUUACCCUCUCUUUUUAGAAAUAGACUCACAUCUCAGAUAGAAAACUUAGUCAGAAAAAUAAAUUGGAGUGGGAAAUUGCCAAUUUAGAAGAUCUGCAAAGUGCAGCUUAACAUUUUCAAAAAGCCCUAGAAAAUAAACAAGCUAGAAAUGAAAACAAACUCUUGG
ensembl:lncRNA